UUCCGGUUGAUCCUGCCGGAGGUCACUGCUAUCGGUGUUCGACUAAGCCAUGCGAGUCAAAUGUUCUUCGUGAACAUGGCGUACUGCUCAGUAACACGUGGAUAACCUGCCCUUAGGUCUGGCAUAACCCCGGGAAACUGGGGAUAAUUCCGGAUAGAUCAUGGAUGCUGGAAUGCACCGUGGUCGAAAGCUUUUGUGCCUAAGGAUGGGUCUGCGGUCUAUCAGGUUGUAGUGGGUGUAACGUACCUACUAGCCUACGACGGAUACGGGUUGUGGGAGCAAGAGCCCGGAGAUGGAUUCUGAGACAUGAAUCCAGGCCCUACGGGGCGCAGCAGGCGCGAAAACUUUGCAAUGCGGGAAACCGCGAUAAGGGGACACCGAGUGCCAGCAUCCUAUGUUGGCUGUCCAUAUGUAUAAAUAACAUGUGUUAGCAAGGGCCGGGCAAGACCGGUGCCAGCCGCCGCGGUAACACCGGCGGCCCGAGUGGUGGCCACUAUUAUUGGGUCUAAAGGGUCCGUAGCCGGUUUGGUCAGUCUUCCGGGAAAUCUGACGGCUUAACCGUUAGGCUUUCGGGGGAUACUGCCAGGCUUGGGACCGGGAGAGGUAAGAGGUACUACGGGGGUAGGAGUGAAAUCUUGUAAUCCCUGUGGGACCACCAGUGGCGAAGGCGUCUUACCAGAACGGGUCCGACGGUGAGGGACGAAAGCUGGGGGCACGAACCGGAUUAGAUACCCGGGUAGUCCCAGCCGUAAACUAUGCUCGCUAGGUGUCAGGGACGGUGCGACCGUUUCUGGUGCCGUAGGGAAGCCGUGAAGCGAGCCACCUGGGAAGUACGGUCGCAAGGCUGAAACUUAAAGGAAUUGGCGGGGGAGCACUACAA
rnacentral:rRNA from 1 species